rnacentral:rRNA from 1 species
GACGAACGCUGGCGGCGUGCCUAAUACAUGCAAGUAGAACGCUGAAGGAGGAGCUUGCUCUUCUGGAUGAGUUGCGAACGGGUGAGUAACGCGUAGGUAACCUGCCUGUUAGCGGGGGAUAACUAUUGGAAACGAUAGCUAAUACCGCAUAACAGUAGAUGUUGCAUGACAUUUACUUAAAAGGUGCAAUUGCAUCACUACCAGAUGGUCCUGCGUGGUAUUAGCUGGUUGGUGGGGUAACGGCCCACCAAGACGACGAAACAUAGCCGACUGGAGAGGUGGUCGGCCAACACUGGACUGGAGAACGGGCCCAGCCCCCUACGGGGGGCACCAGAGGGGAACUUCGGGAAUGGGCGGAAGUCCGGACGGGGAACCCCGGGGGGAGGGAGAAAGGUCUCGGGUUGUAAAGAUUCGUUGAAAGGGAAGAAAGAGUGUGGGAGUGGAAAGUUCACACUGUGACGGUAUCUAACCAGAAAGGGACGGCUAACUACGUG